UUGCACAGCGAACACCCCAGGACGCCACCGUGGCUCUCCUUGGUCCCUUAUGUCUGUGCUACAGUGACUCGGGUCAUUACCUCUGCAUUAGGAGAGUUUCAGUCUCACCUACAUGUAUUCAGUUGACCUGUACAAAU
rnacentral:snoRNA from 1 species